GAGGGUAUAGGUCAGUGGUAGAGUGAAUGCCUAGUAUGCACAAGGUCCUGGGUUCAAUUCCCAGUACUUCUG
rnacentral:tRNA from 1 species